ACACUUGAGCACACGCGUACACCCAGACAUCUUCGGGCUGCUAUUGGAUUGACUUUGAAGGUUCUGUGUGGGUCGCCGUGGCUGCAUGUUUGAAUCAGGUGGAGAAGCACUUCAACGCUGGACGAAGUAAAGAUUAUUGUUGUUAUUUUUUUUUCUCUCUCUCUCUCUCUCUUAAGAAAGGAAAAUAUCCCAAGGACUAAUCUGAUCGGGUCUUCCUUCAUGAACGAAUGCAGGAAUUUGGGAACUGAGCUGUGCAAGUGCUGAAGAAGGAGAUUUGUUUGGAGGAAACAGGAAAGAGAAAGAAAAGGAAGGAAAAAAUACAUAAUUUCAGGGACGAGAGAGAGAAGAAAAACGGGGACUAUGGGGAGAAAAAAGAUUCAGAUUACGAGGAUUAUGGAUGAACGUAACAGACAGGUGACAUUUACAAAGAGGAAAUUUGGGUUGAUGAAGAAGGCUUAUGAGCUGAGCGUGCUGUGUGACUGUGAGAUUGCACUGAUCAUCUUCAACAGCACCAACAAGCUGUUCCAGUAUGCCAGCACCGACAUGGACAAAGUGCUUCUCAAGUACACGGAGUACAACGAGCCGCAUGAGAGCCGGACAAACUCAGACAUCGUGGAGGUGAGAGAGCAUGCGUGGUGAGCCCCAAGCCUCCGCAAGCAGGGGAGUUUGGACCUCCCCCUGCCACACACA
rnacentral:sRNA from 1 species